rnacentral:rRNA from 1 species
GAUUAACGCUGGCGGCGUGCAUAACACAUUCAAGUCGAACGGAAUAUGGAAACAUAUUUAGUGGCGGACGGGUGAGUAACGCGUGAGCAAUCUACCUCCAGGUAAGGGAUAACAACCGGAAACAGUUGCUAAUACCUUAUGAAGUAUAGAGUGAGCAUUCACAUUAUACCAAAGGCUUGCUGCCUGGAGAUGAGCUUGCGUCUGAUUAGGUAGUUGGUGAGGUAACGGCCCACCAAGCCGACGAUCAGUAGCCGGACUGAGAGGUUGAACGGCCACAUUGGAACUGAGAUACGGUCCAG